AGCAGCCGCGGUAAUUCCAGCUCCAAUAGCGUAUAUUAAAGUUGUUGCAGUUAAAAGCUCGUAGUUGAAUUUCGGGAUUGACGUAAUGGUCGUGCCUUAAGGGGUAUGAACUGUUACUGUUGAUUUCUCACCUUCUGGAGAAUCUUGAUGUCCUUAAUUGGGUGUCUUGUGGAUCCAGGACCUUUACCUUGAAAAAUUGAGUGUUUAAAGCAGGCAUUUUGCUCGAAUACAUUAGCAUGGAAUAAUAGAAUAGGACGGCAUGGUUCUAUUUUGUUGGUUUCUAGGAUCACCGUAAUGAUUAAUAGGGAUAGUUGGGGGCAUUAGUAUUCAAUUGUCAGAGGUGAAAUUCUUGGAUUUAUUGAAGACUAACUACUGCGAAAGCAUUUGCCAAGGAUGUUUUCAUUAAUCAAGAACGAAAGUUAGGGAUACGAAGACGAUCAGAUACCGUCGUAGUCUUAACCAUAAACUAUAGACCGACUAGGAAUCAGACGAUGUUUAAAUUUUUAAUGUACUUCGUUUU
rnacentral:misc_RNA from 1 species